rnacentral:rRNA from 1 species
GAUGAACGCUGGCGGCGUGCCUAAUACAUGCAAGUCGAGCGAACAGACGAGGAGCUUGCUCCUCUGACGUUAGCGGCGGACGGGUGAGUAACACGUGGAUAACCUACCUAUAAGACUGGGAUAACUUCGGGAAACCGGAGCUAAUACCGGAUAAUAUAUUGAACCGCAUGGUUCAAUAGUGAAAGACGGUUUUGCUGUCACUUAUAGAUGGAUCCGCGCCGCAUUAGCUAGUUGGUAAGGUAACGGCUUACCAAGGCGACGAUGCGUAGCCGACCUGAGAGGGGGCUGGCCCCCCCGGGACCUGGGACCCGGUCCGAACCCCAAGGGGGGGCAGCAGUGGGGAAUCUUCCGAAAGGGGGGAAACCCUGACGGACAAACGCCGGUGGGGUGAUAAGGGUUUUGGGUUUGAAAAACUUUUUUUUUGGGGAAAAAAAAAUGUUAAAGUAACUUUCCCCGUUUUGACGGUACCAAAUAAAAAAGCCCCGGCAAAUUCCGU